AUCCCAAGGCGCGUGAGAGAACACUGGCCAAGGAACUCGGCAAAAUGACACCGUAACUUCGGGAGAAGGUGUGCCCGUAGACGUGAAAGGACUUGCUCCUCGAGCGUCCGUGGGUUGCAGAGAAUUGAGGGUAGCGACUGUUUACUAAAAACACAGGACUGUGCGAACUCGUAAGAGGACGUAUACGGUCUGACGCCUGCCCGGUGCUGGAAGGUUAAGGGGAGAUGUCAGCGCAAGCGAAGCAUCGAACCGAAGCCCCAGUAAACGGCGGCCGUAACAAUAACGGUCCUAAGUUAGCGAAAUUCCUUGUCGGGUAAGUUCCGACCUGCACGAAUGGCGUAACGACUUCCCUACUGUCUCGGUCAGUGACUCAGCGAAAUUGUAUUGGGGGUGAAGAUACCCUCUACCCGCGGCAAGACGGAAAGACCCCAUGAACCUUCACUGUAAGUUGGCAGUGAAGUUCGGGUCAGCCUGCGUAGGAUAGGUGGGAGGCUUUGAUGCCGGGAUUCCGGUUUCGGCGGAGCCAACCUUGAAAUACCACCCUGGCUGUUCUGGACUUCUAACCUAGGCCCAUUAUCUGGGUCGGGGACACUGCCUGCUGGGCAGUUUGACUGGGGCGGUCGCCUCCAAAAGAGUAACGGAGGCGCGCGAAGGUUCCCUCAGGCUGAAUGGAAACCAGCCGUAGAGUGCAAAGGCAUAAGGGAGCUUAACUGUGAGACCGACAGGUCGAACAGGUGAGAAAUCAGGUCUUAGUGAUCCGGUGGCACUGCAUGGAAGGGCCAUCGCUCAACGGAUAAAAGGUACUCUGGGGAUAACAGGCUGAUCGCGCCUGAGAGUCCAUAUCGGCGGCGCGGUUUGGCACCUCGAUGUCGGCUCAUCGCAUCCUGGGGCUGGAGCAGGUCCCAAGGGUUUGGCUGUUCGCCAAUUAAAGCGGUACGCGAGCUGGGUUUAGAACGUCGUGAGACAGUUCGGUCCCUAUCUGCCGUGGGCGCAGGAUACUUGAGAGGAGCUAUUCAUAGUACGAGAGGACCUGAAUGGACGCACCCCUAGUGUGCCGGUUGUCACGCCAGUGGCAUAGCCGGGUAGCUAUGUGCGGAACGGAUAACCGCUGAAAGCAUCUAAGCGGGAAGCCGGCCUCAAGAUUAGGUAUCCCGGACGCAAGUCCCUAAAGACCCCACGUAGACUACGUGGUUGAUAGGUCAGGUGUGGAAGCACAGCAAUGUGCGGAGCUAACUGAUACUAAUCGGUCGUGCGGCUUUUCCGA
rnacentral:rRNA from 1 species